UAACCCCUUUCCUUCUGUGCCUAUUAAGGUGAUUUGGAAAUUCUUACGCUGCUUCGGCGCUCACCGGCAUCUGCGUACUCCUCCCCGUUCCCGCACUGCCGCCGUCGCACUCCUCCCGGAACCCGCCGCCGCCGCCGCCGCUCUCCUCCCCAUCCCCGAACCUGCCGCGGCCCUCGAAGCACCCCCAUCGGGAGACCCUCUCGGCAGACGGGGCACAUACCACCCGCUUCGGCUCGCUCCGCAAGGUCGUUGCCGAGGCCACGGUCGCCGAGGGCCGCGUGUUCUCUUACCUGCAAGUCUUGAAUUUGGGCGGUGGCAGUCAGUACCUGGAGGAGUUGCUGCAGGAACAACAGAAGCUUGGGCGUUUCGUGCAGGUGCUCCCAAUCUACGGCAGGCUGCUAAAUCAAGAUUGGUAUGCUCAUGUGCACGAUGGGAAGUGCCCCCGUCAAGUCCACUGAAUCUUCAUUCUUGUGAUGUUUGCAUAUAAUGACUAAAUCUAAUACAUUAAACACACUGAUCAUCCAUGGAUUAGAGAGGAUGGAGAGGCCCCAGACAAACCACUUGAUCCGGUAGAAUGACGCAGUUCAGGGCAAUGAACAAGCUUAAGAAGGUUGCCUCGAAGAAAAAUUACACACAACAAAAGUUCCGGUGUUCACCGAAAGUUCCAGUGAGGGCAGUGCAUACUCGCUGGACUAUUUCUUGCAGAGAGUAAUUUUUUAGGUGAAAUUGAAGAUCAAUGCAUUGGAUGGUCCGAUGAGUUUGAUAGCUACAUCGGAUGGUAUUACCGGAGCUUUUUUUACAGAGAAGAAAUCUUUCGUAGAAAAAUUGGAAAUCUUCACACCGGAAGUUCCGAUGUAUACACCGGAAGUUCCGUUGUGUUUGUAUGUGAACUAGACCGGAUGUUCCGAUGAGUGGUAAUUCAGGUUGAGAACAGUGCGCACACCAGAUGUUCCGGUGUUCAGGCUGGAACAUCUGGUGUUCAGAAAACUACUGCGAUGUGCUCUGAAUUGAAUUUGAUUUCAAUUGAAGAUUUUGAUAUUGAGCUAACAUAAGAUGAUUUGGAGAUGGUUUGGAGAAACAUGUUUGCUUGUCUUAUGGUGUGUAGGUGAUGGAUGCAAUUUAACGGUCGACGUCGGGUGAUCAGGACCAAGCGGAGUGUUUAGUGCUGGAUGAUCAAGGAGGCUGGACGGAGUCAAGAGUGAUUCUAGAGGUACACGUGGAGGUCAAACAAAGUAUGAAAGAUGGAUGAAGAUACUGUGUUGACCAAGUCAAACGAAGGAGAUGUUGGUGCAAGUGACAAGGCUGGCUGAGGGAUCGAGAGUGGGAGAAACUUGCCGGUGGUCAAGAUCGCAAGACGGAGUACAUACGUCAAUAUCGGAGCGCUUGCUUAAGGUGUAAGCAAAACGGCGAGUCACGUUUUGAGAAGUGUGCUAGGGUUUCACGGUUUGGGCUCAAAACUGUGGGAGGUCUGGAGGGUCACAUGGUAUCAUUGCGAAGUUUGCAUCAAGACGAAGCUAAGUCAUGAACAAGUCAUGACUAUUUGAUGGAUGGAGAAAAAUUUAGACCAAAAUGGCCCGACGAUAGGUAGGAGGCCAUUGAAAAUUAGGGGUACUUUGGUAACAAGAAAAUUUAAGUGCUAAGCUAUCUUCCUAGGCCUAUAAAUAGAGGGUAGAGCUGUAGGGGAGUCUUGAACCAGCUAUUUGAGAAUCUAGUGAUAGGUUUUAGAGGAGAGUAGAUGAUAGGUUUAGCCUUUGUAAUAGGUUAGAGUUUUUAUGAGAGAAAAUACUUUAUAUUCUGUUUAAAAUAGGGCUGAUCUCUUAGCUUAAUGAAGUUUAUUUUCUCGCAAGUGUUCUUGUUCAUCUCUUUCUAGUCUCUUUCUGUUGGUUCAGUUUUUUUUUGCCGGUUUUACUUUUUUGAUGGUGAUUUUCGUUUUCAAUCUUGAGCUGAAAUUUUUCCACCUUAGCAAGGUAUUCUUUUUAUUAUUAAAGGCAUAAAAUUCACAUACACAUGCAUAUGUGAUGAGUUUUUAAUUUUUUUGCCUCUAGAUCAUCAACGUGGAGAGUUUCCAUUGCCCGGUGAUCUUCUUUGGUCUUGUUUCUUUUUAAAGUUACGAGCUUUUGUAUAUAAAGACAUAUGGAAUGGUCUUGAACGGAACCAAUGAUUCAUAUUUCAUCUGUGGAGUCAUAGUGCACUGAAUCUUUCU